CCUACGGGUGGCAGCAGUGAGGAAUAUUGGUCAAUGGGCGCAAGCCUGAACCAGCCAAGUCGCGUGAGGGAAGACGGCCCUACGGGUUGUAAACCUCUUUUGCCGGGGAGCAAGCCUGAGCACGUGUGCCCAGGCGGAGAUUACCCGGAGAAAAAGCAUCGGGUAACUCCGUGCCAGCAGCCGCGGUAAUACGGGGGAUGCAAGCGUUAUCCGGAUUUAUUGGGUUUAAAGGGUGCGUAGGCUGUGAGGUAAGUCAGCGGUGAAAUGCCCCCGCUCAACGGGGUGAAGUGCCAUUGAUACUGGCUUGCUGGAAUGCGGAUGCCGUGGGAGGAAUGUGUGGUGUAGCGGUGAAAUGCAUAGAUAUCACACAGAACACCGAUUGCGAAGGCAUCUCACGAAUCCGCGAUUGACGCUGAUGCACGAAAGCGUGGGUAUCAAACAGGAUUAGAUACCCGGGUAGUC
rnacentral:rRNA from 1 species